rnacentral:rRNA from 1 species
GACGAACGCUGUCGGCGUGCUUAACACAUGCAAGUCGAACGAAGUGGCGAACGGGUGAGUAACGCGUAAUCAACCUGCCCUUCAGAGGGGGACAACAGUUGGAAACGACUGCUAAUACCGCAUACUGAAGGAGGGACUUGCGUCUGGUUAGCUAGUUGGAGGGGUAACGGCCCCCCAAGGCGAUGAUCAGUAGCCGGUCUGAGAAGAUGAACGGCCACAUUGGGGAUGAGACACGGCCCAGACGCCUACGGGAGGCCGCAGUGGGGAAUCGUUCGCAAUGGACGAAAGUCUGACGGAGCAACGCCGCGUGAGUGAUGACGGCCUUCGGGUUGUAAAGCUCUGUUAAUCGGGACGCGGUACCGGAAUAGAAAGCCUCGGCUAACUACGUGCCAGUAGCCGCGGUAAUUC